GGGCACAUGGCUCAGUGGUAGAGCGUCGUCCUGAUAAGACGAAGGUCCUUGGUUCGAUCCCAAGUGUGCCCA
rnacentral:tRNA from 1 species